CCUUGUUAUUGGAUUGGCUUCAGGGACAAGGAUCGAGCUUUCGGCAACAGCCUCAAAUUUGAAAUCCUCCUGCCUCAGAGUCCCAAGUUGCUGGAAUUAGGUUUGUGCCACCACACCCGAUUUUAAAUUUUUAUUUUGAGACAGGGUCUUACUAAGUUGCCCACACUGGCCUCAAAGUUUCCAAGGCUGGCCUGCAACUUGAAUUCUCCUGCCUUAGGCUCCUAAAUUUCUGGGAUUAUGGGCAAGUGCCAUUGUACCUAGUCAUCAUCCUCCUCUCAAAAGCCAGGGCAGAGUUAAGCUUCCAUUUCCUUAUCUGUAGAGUGUGGAUAAAAAUAGUGUAUAUUUAUGUCUGCUCUAACUAUUGAAGCCAAGUGUCACCAACUGACUGAGGGGCUUAAAUAACAAAAAUGCAUUGCCCCACCCCCCAUUUCUGAAGAUGAAGUCUGAGAUGAAGAUAUCAGCAGGGUUGGCUCUUUCUAAGGGCCGUGAGGGAAUAGUGGACCAGGUUCUCCACUAGUUGCUGGGGGUUUGUAGGCAGGCGUUGGUGUUCCCUGGCUUGCAGGCAUCAGCACCCCUGGUUUCGUGUUCACAUGGUGGUCUCUCUGUGUGCCACUGUGUCCAGAUUCCCUUUUUUAUGAAGACAACAGUUGUAUUGGAUAAGAUCCACCCUAAUGACUUCGACCUAACUUGAUCAUCUGCACAUACCCUGUUCCCAAAUAAAGUCACACUCACAAGCACUGAGGGUUAGAACGUUGGCAUCUUUUGGGGGAGGGUUUGAACCGAUGGCUACAGUUCAACCCAGAACAUCUCACAGAAUGCUUGAAUGGGUUAAAUGACAGCAAGAUCACUCCACAAAUAUUC
rnacentral:lncRNA from 1 species